CUGAAGGAACGUUAAAGACGAUGACGUUGAUAGGCCGGGUGUGUAAGCGCAGCGAUGCGUUGAGCUAACCGGUACUAAUGAACCGUGAGGCUUAACCUU
rnacentral:rRNA from 2 species